UACGGAGGGAGCUAGCGUUGUUCGGAAUUACUGGGCGUAAAGCGCACGUAGGCGGCUUUGUAAGUUAGAGGUGAAAGCCCGGGGCUCAACCCCGGAAUUGCCUUUAAGACUGCAUCGCUUGAAUCCGGGAGAGGUGAGUGGAAUUCCGAGUGUAGAGGUGAAAUUCGUAGAUAUUCGGAAGAACACCAGUGGCGAAGGCGGCUCACUGGACCGGUAUUGACGCUGAGGUGCGAAGGCUAGGGGAGCAAACGGG
rnacentral:rRNA from 1 species